rnacentral:rRNA from 1 species
GAUGAACGCUAGCUACAGGCUUAACACAUGCAAGUCGAGGGACCGGCGCACGGGUGAGUAACACGUAUCCAACCUGCCCUUUACUCGGUGAUAGCCUUUCGAAAGAGAGAUUAAUACCUGAUAUAAAGUAUGGGUAUGCGUUACAUUAGGUUGUUGGUGAGGUACCGGCCCACCAAGCCUUCGAUGGAUAGGGGUUCUGAGAGGAAGGUCCCCUACAGUGGAUCCGAGACACUGUCCAAACUCAUACGGGAUGCAGCAGGGAGGAAUAGUGGUCAAUGGGCGUUAGCCUGAACCAGCAAAGGAGCGUGAAGGAUGAACGCUUAUGGGUCGUAAACUUCUUUUAUAUAAGAAUAUGUAUUAGCUGAAUAAGGAUCGGCUAACUCCGGGCCAGCAGCCGCGGUAAUAC